rnacentral:rRNA from 1 species
GACGAACGCUGGCGGCGUGCUUAACACAUGCAAGUCGAACGGAAAGGCCCUGCUUUUGUGGGGUGCCCGAGUGGCGAACGGGUGAGUAACACGUGAGUAACCUGCCCUUGACUUUGGGAUAACUUCAGGAAACUGGGGCUAAUACCGGAUAGGAGCUCCUGCUGCAGGGUGGGGGUUGGAAAGUUUCGGCGGUUGGGGAUGGACGCGCGGCUUAUCAGCUUGCUGGUGGGGUAGUGGCUUACCAAGGCUUUGACGGGUAGCCGGCCUGAGAGGGUGACCGGCCACAUUGGGACUGAGAGACGGCGCAGACUCCUACGGGAGGCAGCAGUGGGGAAUAUUGCACAAUGGGCGGAAGCCUGAUGCAGCAACGCCGCGUGCGGGAUGACGGCCUUCGGGUUGUAAACCGCUUUCGCCUGUGACGAAGCGUGAGUGACGGUAAUGGGUAAAGAAGCACCGGCUAACUACGUG